rnacentral:rRNA from 1 species
GACGAACGCUGGCGGCGUGCUUAACACAUGCAAGUCGAGCGGUAAGGCCUUUCGGGGUACACGAGCGGCGAACGGGUGAGUAACACGUGGGUGAUCUGCCCUGCACUUCGGGAUAAGCCUGGGAAACUGGGUCUAAUACCGGAUAUGACCUCCUAUCGCACGGUGGGUGGUGGAAAGAUUUAUCGGUGCAGGAUGGGCCCGCGGCCUAUCAGCUUGUUGGUGGGGUAAUGGCCUACCAAGGCGACGACGGGUAGCCGACCUGAGAGGGUGACCGGCCACACUGGGACUGAGACACGGCCCAGACUCCUACGGGAGGCAGCAGUGGGGAAUAUUGCACAAUGGGCGAAAGCCUGAUGCAGCGACGCCGCGUGAGGGAUGACGGCCUUCGGGUUGUAAACCUCUUUCAGCAGGGACGAAGCGCAAGUGACGGUACCUGCAGAAGAAGCACCGGCUAACUACGUG